rnacentral:tRNA from 2 species
GGCCCCAUAGUUCAAGGGAUAGAACGGAAGUUUCCUAAACUUUAAAUACAGGUUCGAGUCCUGUUGGGGCUA